UAUAUGUAUAUAUGUCUUCACAUGAAGGCAGCUUUCUACAGAAGAAUUAAUUAUGAAAAUGCAUGUUUUCAUGUGCUUGAAACUAUUUACUCUGUAUUUAUUGUUUAAUACUUCAUCUACCGGAGCAGUGAUAAACCUACCGGAAAACACUAGUAUUCCGGCGGUGAUAUUUUUCGGAGAUUCCAUAACUGAUACCGGCAAUAAUAAUUAUAUUCCGACUUUAGCUAAAGCCAAUUUCCCCCCUUACGGCGAGAAUUUCAUCGGGCGAAAUCCCACCGGAAGAUUUUCCAACGGAAAAAUCGUACCGGACUUUAUUGCCGAAGAGUUGGGAAUUAAACCGCUUUCGCCUCCAUUUCUCGAUCCAUCUCUUCGAGAUCAAGAUCUUUUGACCGGGGUCAACUUUGCGUCUGCGGGUUCAGGAUAUGACCCUUUAACCUCAGAUCUCCUGUGGGUGUUGUCGCUAUCGGACCAAUUAGAAAUGUUUAAAGACUAUAUAGUAAGGCUGUAAAAGAUUCGUCGGAGAUGAAAGAUCGUCCGAUAUUUUGAAAGAAAGUAUAAUUGCAGUGUCUAGUGGCAGUAAUGACAUUUGGAAUACGUAUUCUAACGUAAGACAAUUUCAGUACGACGUUCCUUCGUAUACUGACCUCCUAGUUCGUUACGCUUCCACUUUUGUGCAGGACUUGUACGGAUUGGGGGCACGUAGAAUUGGCGUUUUCAGCAUGCUACCGAUCGGAUGUCUGCCGUCACAAAGAACUCAAAAGGGAGGACUCGGAAGAAAAUGCGUGGACGAAUAUAAUCGAAUAGUGCAAUUAUUCAACGACAAACUAUCGGCCGAAAUAACCUUUCUCAACACACAAUUCCGUGAUGCAAGGAUCGUCUACGUAGAUUUUUACAAUCUUCCUCUUGAUAUCAUUCGCCACCCACAUAAAUACGGAUUCAAGAUCUCCAGUAAGGGAUGCUGCGGAACGGGCACAUUUGAGGCAUCGAUUCUUUGCAGAUAUGCAUGUUCGAAUGUGGAUGAUUAUGUGUUUUGGGACGGUUUUCACCCGACGGAAAAAACGUACCAGAUUCUGGCACGUCAAGUUGUCGAGGAAUACAUUCAUUACUUCAUAUGUGGAAAGGCAAUUUGUUGAUUUAUAUAUAUAUAUAUACACAUUUAAUGAGAUAUUUAUUUAUUUUGCACUUUGUAUGCUCGAAAUUAGAUUGAUGUAUACAUGAAAUAAUUAUUCGAUUCGAACUUUGCAACAACAAAAAAGAAAAAUCCACUAGAAAGACGAUGAUGCCCUCUUUUAAUUCUUAUCAAAUACGAGGUCUAUUGUGGAUGAU